GCUCCAGGGUGCUACAAGGUCAAGAGCAGCAGGAGGAAGAUGGAAGUGGGGUGUCAGCCUCUGACCGCCAGGCUCUUAUCUCUCCCAGGAGGUGCACGGCAGGACACAGGAAGCCAGCCCUGGAGCAGGACACACUGCCUGCUAAAAACAGCAUCACCCGUUGACUUCUAAGCCGCACUGCGUCCCUCUCCUGGCUCGCCUGGAUAGAGCAGAGCUGUCCGUGGGCACCAGGAUGGCCAUUCCAUACUCUGCUCCAGUGCUGGUCCAGAGAGCCUCUCCCUGACUUGUCUGCCUUCCGCGUCGCAGCACAGGACACCCCCCUCCCAUGGCCUCCCGUCAGAGUGGAGAUACAACUCUGUGGUAGCACAUGUGCUUGGCUCGAGCAGGGCCCUAAAUCCCAACCCAACACUGGGGGGUUUUCCCCAGCGUAGAAGGCCCCAUCGCCUUUCUGUUCUGAUCCUCGCCUGCUCUCCUUCCCUACCCUCCUUGAGAUCCCAGGGUCUGUGUCCUGCCCUAUGUACCUCGCACUUGCUCUUCCCCACAGGUUCUGAUGACUCCUGAAGUCCUGACUCCAAAAUCACCUCUACCACCUCUUUUGACAUUUCAUCUCCUGCCUCUUCCACCCCAACACCUUGGAGUUCCUGUCCUUAUCUAGUCUCCACCCUUGACCUUGACACUGCCGGGUGUAUUUCACUUGCUUAUCUUGCUCGUCACUACCAACACAAGCCCAGCUAACCCGGAGAAAUAGCAACACACACAUCUUUGGGGUGGGGUAGGGGGAGAGAGCUGUAUGCGGUGAUGACUAAUGCGCUCGUAAACUGCUGGACGCUUUUUAUACUACUGUGAGGAGCUGUUGCAAAGUCACUUGUGGUUUGAAUGACUUUAAGAUUCAGAGUACUAUUAAUUUCCGGUGAAUAAUUCCAAGAAACACGGUGCUUGGGGAAGAAUUAAGAUGUUUUCAAGAGAGUACAAAGAGCUGCCUGGUGUGACUCUAGAGGAAAGACCGCAGCGCUGAAGUCAUUUUCCUGUUUGGUUCGUCAGUGUGAUCGAAAUGAAGCCUGGGACUGGGUGCAGUGGUACACACCUUUGCUGCCAGCGCUUGGAGGGCAGAAGCUGGCAGACCAUUAUGAGUUCGAGGCCAGCCUGGCGCACAUAGAACACACACCUUAGUCUCUGGGCACAUGGAGGAGGUGAAGGCAGCUGUGGAUUGACAAGGAUGUUGGGGGCAUGCGCCACCCUCUACCCGUGAAAUCAGAAAGGAAAUGAGCAGGCAGCUGCAGGCUGUCUGCCUACCUCGACUCCCACCCACCCGCCCACCCGCGCCUCAGCAGCUGCCUCCAGAGGUGAGAGCUGUCGGCCAGCUGAUGGGAAACAGCUGGCUCCUUCCUGCCCUUUAUGCUCUCCCAAACCCUAAGCCUGCACACAGCUGCAAAAAGCCACCUCACGGACCUCCCUACAGAGCUGUGGGUCUCAACCAUUACUGUGUCCACAGGGUGGGGAAGAUGACGGAGAUGGGUUAAACAAAGGAUCCCAGCUCCCAGUG
rnacentral:lncRNA from 1 species